GUCUUCUUUUUGCUGAGCUUGAGGUGAGCACAUGAAAGUGUUCAAAUUGAAUUGUCUGUGCCAUGUACUGCUGGUCAUUUCUGCUACUGGAAUAGUGAUGAGUUCACAUUUUCGCCGUUUACCCAUCAGACCAUAGGUUUCUCUGCCAUGCUGUACACCAAAUAUGCGAGAAGAAGGCUUGUUUGCUGAUCUCAGCCUCUGAUCUGUCACUGUGACGUAUCAGGGAUGUGAGAGUCAGAUGUCUUCUUUUUGCUGAGCUUGAGGUGAGCACAUGAAAGUGUUCAGAUUGAAUUGUCUGUGCCAUGUACUGCUGGUCAUUUCUGCUACUGGAAUAGUGAUGAGUUCACAUUUUCGCCGUUUACCCAUCAGACCA